UACGUAGGGGUGCAAGCGUUGUCCGGAAUUAUUGGGCGUAAAGAGCGUGUAGGCGGCCCGAUUAGUCCGCUGUGAAAGUCCAGGGCUCAACCCUGGAAUGCCGGUGGAUACUGUCGGGCUAGAGUCCGGAAGGGGCGAGUGGAAUUCCUGGUGUAGCGGUGAAAUGCGCAGAUAUCAGGAGGAACACCAAUGGCGAAGGCAGCUCGCUGGGACGUGACUGACGCUGAGACGCGAAAGCGUGGGGAGCAAACAGG
rnacentral:rRNA from 1 species